ACAUGUUUUCCAUCUCCCUGUGUUGGGGUAACUAACACAGACUUCAUUAACACAACAAACAAACAAUACAUAGAAGUUACACUAAAGGAUUGCCCAGUGUGUCUGCCUGGAGGAAGUGAGAGAGAGCACCAUCUUUACAUGGGGAGUCCCAAUCCCCAAAACCAUCACCACACCACGCUUUACAUACAGGGAAUACACACACACACACUCCACAUAAAGAGAACACACACACACACACACACACACAUACACUCCACAUACAGGGGACACACACACACAAGGGAGAGACACACACACACACACUGUAAGGUCUGUGUUCUGUCCGUGUCUAAUUUCUGUGUUUGUCUCCCUUGUGUGGUCACAUGUUUGUUCCCAUGUCUAGUCCUCGUGCUUCCUUGUUCCCGCCAUGUGCUUUCCCUAUGUUUGUUUGUCUAUGCCAUGUGCCCUCUUGUUGUUGUCCGUGUCUCCACCCCUCACCUGUUCCCAAUCUCCCGGGUUGUGUGUAUCAUUGGUUUCACCUGUGUCCUGUUGGUUCCCCUUGUUUAGUCCACCUGUGUCUUUGUCUGCCCCGCCUUGAUUGUUCUCACCUGUCCCUCGUUAUCUGUUGCCUGUGUGUAUAUAUAGUCCUUGUUUUCUUGUUCCCGCCAUGUGCUUUCCCUAUGUUUGUUUGUCUAUGCCAUGUGCCCUCUUGUUGUUGUCCGUGUCUCCACCCCUCACCUGUUCCCAAUCUCCCGGGUUGUGUGUAUCAUUGGUUUCACCUGUGUCCUGUUGGUUCCCCUUGUUUAGUCCACCUGUGUCUUUGUCUGCCCCGCCUUGAUUGUUCUCACCUGUCCCUCGUUAUCUGUUGCCUGUGUGUAUAUAUAGUCCUUGUUUUCUUGUUCCUCGUUGUGUCGUCGUAAAUUGUGUUUGAUGGUAUGUUCCUUGGUUUUCCACUGCUCCUCGUGUGUUCCUAGCGUUUAGCGCUUCUGCCUUGUUCAAGUGAUUACUCGUGCUUCUGACCUCUGCCUGCCCUACAACUAUUCUCCUGCCUAUUCCCUGUUUGGAUUUGUUUGCCUACUUUUGGACUGCCUACCCGUGUACCGAACCCUGCUAGUAAACGUUUAUUCUUCUGAAUCUACCCCUGUGCUGAGUCGUGCGAUUGAGUUCUGCACAACACCCACCAUUCGUAACACACUCUACUUACAGG
rnacentral:lncRNA from 1 species